rnacentral:rRNA from 1 species
UACGGGGGGGGCAAGCGUUGUUCGGAAUUACUGGGCGUAAAGGGCGCGUAGGCGGCCUUCUAAGUCAGACGUGAAAUCCCUCGGCUCAACCGAGGAACUGCGUCUGAUACUGGAAGGCUUGAAUCCGGGAGAGGGAUGUGGAAUUCCAGGUGUAGCGGUGAAAUGCGUAGAUAUCAGGAGGAACACCAAUUGCGAAGGCAGCUCGCUGGGACGUUACUGACGCUGAGACGCGAAAGCGUGGGGAGCAAACAGG